GCAAAUGCACCCCCUCAUCCAUUGGACGGUUUGUAUAGGUGAAGAGAGUUAACUUGGACGGUGUUAAGUUGUGGAGAUGCUUGUGCUGCUGCAGCUGCUGC